rnacentral:rRNA from 1 species
GAGUUUGAUCAUGGCUCAGGAUGAACGCUGGCGGCGUGCUUAACACAUGCAAGUCGAACGAACCUUCGGGUUAGUGGCGGACGGGUGAGUAACGCGUGGGAAUCUGCCCUCAGGAGGGGGAUAACGGCUGGAAACGGCCGCUAAUACCCCAUAUGCCGAGAGGUGAAAUGAAUUUCGCCUGAGGAUGAGCCCGCGUCUGAUUAGCUAGUUGGUGAGGUAAGAGCUCACCAAGGCAUCGAUCAGUAGCUGGUCUGAGAGGAUGAUCAGCCACACUGGGACUGAGACACGGCCCAGACUCCUACGGGAGGCAGCAGUGGGGAAUUUUCCGCAAUGGGCGAAAGCCUGACGGAGCAACGCCGCGUGAGGGAUGAAGGCCUCUGGGCUGUAAACCUCUUUUCUCAAGGAAGAAGAUCUGACGGUACUUGAGGAAUAAGCCACGGCUAAUUCCGUGCCAGCAGCCGCGGUAAUACGGGAGUGGCAAGCGUUAUCCGGAAUUAUUGGGCGUAAAGCGUCCGCAGGCGGCCCUUCAAGUCUGCUGUUAAAACGUGGAGCUUAACUCCAUCAUGGCAGUGGAAACUGUUGGGCUUGAGUGUGGUAGGGGCAGAGGGAAUUCCCGGUGUAGCGGUGAAAUGCGUAGAUAUCGGGAAGAACACCAGUGGCGAAGGCGCUCUGCUGGGCCAUAACUGACGCUCAUGGACGAAAGCCAGGGGAGCGAAAGGGAUUAGAUACCCCUGUAGUCCUGGCCGUAAACGAUGAACACUAGGUGUCGGGGGAAUCGACCCCCUCGGUGUCGUAGCCAACGCGUUAAGUGUUCCGCCUGGGGAGUACGCACGCAAGUGUGAAACUCAAAGGAAUUGACGGGGGCCCGCACAAGCGGUGGAGUAUGUGGUUUAAUUCGAUGCAACGCGAAGAACCUUACCAGGGUUUGACAUCCUGCGAACCUCUUGGAAACGAGAGGGUGCCUUCGGGAACGCAGUGACAGGUGGUGCAUGGCUGUCGUCAGCUCGUGUCGUGAGAUGUUGGGUUAAGUCCCGCAACGAGCGCAACCCACGUCUUUAGUUGCCAGCAUUUAGUUGGGCACUCUAGAGAGACCGCCGGUGAUAAACCGGAGGAAGGUGUGGAUGACGUCAAGUCAUCAUGCCCCUUACAUCCUGGGCUACACACGUACUACAAUGCUACGGACAAAGGGCAGCAAGUUCGCGAGAACAAGCAAAUCCCAUAAACCGUGGCUCAGUUCAGAUCGUAGGCUGCAACUCGCCUACGUGAAGGAGGAAUCGCUAGUAAUCGCAGGUCAGCAUACUGCGGUGAAUACGU